UUCUAUUUCUCAAAAUGAGGCUCCUUCUUCAGCUCCUGGGGCUGCUAAUGCUCGGGAUCCCAGGAUCCACUGGAGAUGUUGUGAUGACGCAGACCCCACUCUCUCUGUCCAUCACCUCUGGAGAGCCAGCCUCCAUCUCCUGCAGGUCCAGUCAGAGCCUCCUACACAGUAACGGGAAGACCUAUUUGAAUUGGAUUGUACACAAGCCAGGCCAGUCUCCUCGGCGAAUGAUUUAUCAGGUGACCAACAGGGACUCAUGGGUCCCUGAUAGGUUCAGUGGCAGCGGGUCGGGGACAGAUUUCACACUCAAAAUCAGCAGGGUGGAGGCUGAGGAUGCUGGAGUUUAUUACUGUGUGCAAGGUACACGUGCUCCUCACACAGUGAUACAACCCCGAACACAAACCUCCCUCCCUGGGGAGGCCCAGCUGCCCUCUUGUGCUGCUGUCUGGGGAGCAGCACUGCAGAGUCUCUGA